rnacentral:tRNA from 1 species
AGUAGAAUGGCUGAGGGUAUAAGUGGUAGAUUGUAAAUCUAUUAAGGAAUAAUUUUUAAAUUCUUCUACUA